AUCAAUUAAAUGACUCUUAAUUCAUCGGCAUUCUACUCGAAGACAAUCACUCAUAAUUAGCUCAUAAAUCAACAAAUAACUCAACUUAUAAACUCAAGAAUAACAAAACACAAUCAAGAACUCACCUUACACAAAACUUUCUCUCCAAAGAGAGAGAGAGAGAAGAAUCGGUCAUCUAAUCAGCUACACUGCCCUCCCUUUUAUAGACCAAGUAUUCAAUGUCACCAUCAAUCCUUGCUUGCCUUCAGAGAUUAUUCUUGAUUCUUCUAUUAUACUCCAGAGUUCUCUAAAUAAUCCAGCCAAUCUUGCAAUGCUUAUUUCUCCAAUAUUUAUGUAUCGAGAGAGAUCUUGAUAUUUCCAGAUGAAUCUAGAUGUUCUCUUGCCUUCCAGAGACUUCUUCAUCCUUCUCUAAUGCUCCAAAGUACUCCAACAAACUCUAAAUGAACGUAUAAGACUUUGUUGAUGGUUCUCGGGUCAUCAACAACUUUUACAGCAUAUGUUGCCAUAUCAUCUUCAUCAACGAAUAUAAAUUUGGUAUUUCCAUCCCCUAUGAUGUGAACUAUUUCCUUCGGUAUACCUGUUGCUUCUACCUGGCCAAGUCUUGAGAGAAAAUAUGUUACACAAAGGUUACUACUCACGAAAGUAAAUGGAAUCCCUGCUUUUCUAAUUAUUUCACGGAUUCUAGUUUUGAUCGCAAGCCUUCCUUUUGCUGGUUCAAGGAUUUGUAGCCGAUCAACAUCGAACCCAAACUCUGAGGGGAAAUAUCUCUGCCAUUCACCAAUCAUGAGUUAAAAGAGCAGUUGAUUCAAUAAACACCUUGAUAUUUCCGGCUUCGGUAAUGGCCGAGGCGAUCUUGAUCUGAUCCUCCAACUGUUUAUCGGAAUGAUGUCCACCUGCUUGAUGGCUCUCAGCAGGCUGCUUGAUGGCUCUCAGCAGGCUCUCGUGAUCAUUCACAUCUCCCUGCACGAUAUACUUGCCAAGUUAGCCGGUGGCCCCGAUGAUGAGUAUCUUACUCUUCUCGCCCAUUAGUUGAAGAAAGAGCUCU
rnacentral:misc_RNA from 1 species